CCUACGGGUGGCAGCAGUAGGGAAUAUUGCUCAAUGGGGGAAACCCUGAAGCAGCAACGCCGCGUGAGGGAUGAAGGUUUUCGGAUUGUAAACUCCUUUUGUUAGAGAAGAUAAUGACGGUAUCUGACGAAUAAGCACCGGCUAACUCCGUGCCAGCAGCCGCGGUAAUACGGAGGGUGCAAGCGUUACUCGGAAUCACUGGGCGUAAAGAGCGCGUAGGCGGGAUAGCAAGUCAGAUGUGAAAUCCUAUGGCUUAACCAUAGAACUGCAUUUGAAACUGUUAUUCUAGAGUAUGGGAGAGGUAGGUGGAAUUCCUGGUGUAGGGGUAAAAUACGUAGAGAUUAAGAGGAAUACCCAUUGCGAAGGCGGCCUGCUAGAACAUAACUGACGCUGAUGCGCGAAAGCGUGGGGAGCAAACAGGAUUAGAUACCCCGGUAGUC
rnacentral:rRNA from 1 species